UGGGGGAUUUUGCACAAUGGGCGCAAGCCUGAUGCAGCGACGCCGCGUGAGGGAUGAAGGCCUUCGGGUUGUAAACCUCUUUCGCUGGGUUGAAAGGCCAUGCUUUGGGUGUGGUUGAUUUGAACUGGUAAAGAAGUACCGGCUAACUACGUGCCAGCAGCCGCGGUAAUACGUAGGGUACUAGCGUUGUCCGGAUUUAUUGGGCGUAAAGGGCUUGUAGGUGGUUUGUCGCGUCUGUCGUGAAAUCCUGUGGCUUAACCAUGGGCUUGCGGUGGGUACGGGCAGGCUUGAGUGCGGUAGGGGAGACUGGAAUUCCUGGUGUAGCGGUGGAAUGCGCAGAUAUCAGGAGGAACACCGGUGGCGAAGGCGGGUUUCUGGGCCGUUACUGACACUGAGGAGCGAAAGCGUGGGGAGCGAACAGG
rnacentral:rRNA from 1 species